UACGAAGGGGGCUAGCGUUGUUCGGAAUUACUGGGCGUAAAGCGCGCGCAGGCGGUUCGAUAAGUUGGGGGUGAAAUCCCCGGGCUCAACCCGGGAAUUGCCUUCAAGACUGUCGAGCUAGAGGACGAGAGAGGUGAGUGGAAUUCCCAGUGUAGAGGUGAAAUUCGUAGAUAUUGGGAAGAACACCGGUGGCGAAGGCGGCUCACUGGCUCGUUUCUGACGCUGAGGCGCGAAAGCCAGGGGAGCAAACGGG
rnacentral:rRNA from 1 species